UACGGAGGGUGCAAGCGUUAUCCGGAUUCACUGGGUUUAAAGGGUGCGUAGGUGGGAAUGUAAGUCAGUGGUGAAAUCUCUGAGCUUAACUCAGAAACUGCCAUUGAUACUAUGUUUUCUUGAAUUUUCUUGGAGGUCAGCGGAAUAAUGUCAUGUAGCGGUGAAAUGACUUAGAUAUGACAUAGAACACCAAUUGCGAAAGGCAGCUGGCUACAGGGAUGAUUGACACUGAGGCACGAAAGCGUGGGGAUCAAACAGG
rnacentral:rRNA from 1 species